rnacentral:rRNA from 1 species
ACGGAAGGCAGCAGUGGGGGAUAUUGCACAAUGGGGGAAACCCUGAUGCAGCGACGCCGCGUGAGCGAAGAAGUAUUUCGGUAUGUAAAGCUCUAUCAGCAGGGAAGAAAAUGACGGUACCUGACUAAGAAGCUCCGGCUAAAUACGUGCCAGCAGCCGCGGUAAUACGUAUGGAGCAAGCGUUAUCCGGAUUUACUGGGUGUAAAGGGAGCGCAGACGGUUUGCCAAGUCUGAUGUGAAAGGUGGGGGCUCAACCCCCAAACUGCAUUGGAAACUGGUAGACUAGAGUGUCGGAGAGGUAAGUGGAAUUCCUAGUGUAGCGGUGAAAUGCGUAGAUAUUAGGAGGAACACCAGUGGCGAAGGCGGCUUACUGGACGAUAACUGACGUUGAGGCUCGAAAGCGUGGGGAGCAAACAGGAUUAGAUACCCUGGUA